UACGAAGGGGGCUAGCGUUGUUCGGAAUUACUGGGCGUAAAGCGCACGUAGGCGGGUUGUUAAGUCAGGGGUGAAAUCCCGGAGCUCAACUCCGGAACUGCCUUUGAUACUGGCAAUCUAGAGACUGGAAGAGGUUAGUGGAAUUCCCAGUGUAGAGGUGAAAUUCGUAGAUAUUGGGAAGAACACCAGUGGCGAAGGCGGCUAACUGGUCCAGUACUGACGCUGAGGUGCGAAAGCGUGGGGAGCAAACGGG
rnacentral:rRNA from 1 species